AUUCCCUUCAGGCUAAGGUGCAGCCUGCAGCAGUGUACAGAAGGAAUGCCGUGCACAGCAGGGGAUCUGUGUUUGAAAUGAUUUAAAGACACAACGUAUUGCCUGGAGCAAUUCCACUGCGUCUGGAAGAUGGUGAGAAUGAUCUGGGAGAGACUGUGCUGGGGUGCAGGAAGAAUGUCUAGCAGGAGGGCGGGAAGUGGGUGGGGCCGGAGCCUGAAGCACAGCCACUGCCCCAUUAGACAGGAAGCCUCGGGUGGGCUGGCAGAUGCACAGGGAAGGUCUCUUCCAAAAGCUCCUGUUUUCUGGGUGAAGCAGAAGAAAGCGGGCCUGCUGAGGGCCAGGCUGGAGAGGAGCUAGGCUGGUGCCUUGGGAACAGAAUCACAGCAGCUGGAGAGCUGGGCUGAACCCGGGAGCCUCUGCAGGCUCCCCAGUGCAGCCAAGAUCUCUGGAGGAGAGGAGGCCCCUGAAAGGCAGAAGGUAGCGUCCAGGACCAGGGCCCCUGAAAGGCAGAAGGAAGCGUCCAGAACCAGUGAAAUGAGAGUGCAUCAGCCAGCAGAAAAAGGAAACUGAAGGCGUCGACAAGAGCAGCGGCUUUGCAGAGGGAAGCGUCUAGAGACCGUGGGAGCACGCUGGACACCAGCGCUAAGCAGCACUUGCAGUGAGGACCUGGCUGAGCCCCCAGGAUCCCCCCAACGUAGCUGGCCGCCUUGGGGAGCUCUCUUCCCCAACCCACAGAUGCCACCAACCCUGGUGGCAUGACACGACACUCAAGAUUCCCUUGGGAGCGGGGGUCACAGGCCUGGGGCCUGCCAUGAGGCCACGGGGCCUCCUGCUUCCCAUGCUGAUAGCAAACGCGCCUUUCAGAGCCCUUCCCGCAUCUCCUCACUACAGAGCACUUCAUAGGCGCUCACAAUGAAGAAGUGGGGAGAGGGAGAGAAGCAGAUAAAAGGGAAAGCGGAAAUGUGGCAUUUUAGUUAUUUAAUAAAGGUAAACUUGAACUAUAUGAUGCAAUGAUUCAUUUGAAAUCAAUGUUCCAAUAUCAAACUUUAAUUGUGUAAGUUAUGAGAACAGUCAUGCCUUGUGCCCACAGUUUAAAAGACAGCCAUCUAAAAAACUUCUUGGCAAAU
rnacentral:lncRNA from 1 species